GAUGAACUCAUUUCCCAACUUCAGGAAGAGCUGCUCCCAGAAAUUUUAUGUUCUAUAAGAGGAGGUUUUAUUUGCUUGGCUGUGUUUCUUGAAAAUUCUACUGAUGUCUUCAGUGAUAUGCCCCCAUUAAAGGGAAAAGUCCGGCAUUUACAGAAGGCUUUUGCUUCCAGAGUAGAUAAAUCCACACAGACUGAACUACUAGGCUAUGACGAGCAUUAACGUCAUGAAUCCUGUGGCUCACCACUUCAUGUCCGAAGGUUAGUGAGCCAGUGACUCAUCCCUCAAGGCCCUGGAUUUGUUUACUUAUUUAGCAAGGUACAGCAGAAAAUGACAGCAUGCCCUUAACGCAAAGCUUUUCCUCUAGCACUCUUGUCCAAGAAGAGGUAAUAAAAUUUACUUGAAAAAACUA
rnacentral:sRNA from 1 species